rnacentral:rRNA from 1 species
UACGUAGGGUGCGAGCGUUGUCCGGAAUUAUUGGGCGUAAAGGGCUCGUAGGCGGUUUGGCGCGUCGGGAGUGAAAACUCAGGGCUUAACCCUGAGCCUGCUUCCGAUACGGGCAGACUAGAGGUAUGCAGGGGAGAACGGAAUUCCUGGUGUAGCGGUGAAAUGCGCAGAUAUCAGGAGGAACACCGGUGGCGAAGGCGGGUCUCUGGGCAGUAACUGACGCUGAGGAGCGAAAGCGUGGGGAGCGAACAGG